UACGUAGGGUGCAAGCGUUGUCCGGAAUUAUUGGGCGUAAAGAGCUCGUAGGCGGUUUGUUGCGUCGGCUGUGAAAUCCCGAGGCUCAACCUCGGGUCUGCAGUCGAUACGAGCAAACUAGAGUGUUGCAGGGGAGACUGGAAUUCCUGGUGUAGCGGUGAAAUGCGCAGAUAUCAGGAGGAACACCGGUGGCGAAGGCGGGUCUCUGGGCAACAACUGACGCUGAGACGCGAAAGCGUGGGGAGCGAACAGG
rnacentral:rRNA from 1 species